CACGUAGGGGGCGAGCGUUGUCCGGAUUUAUUGGGCGUAAAGGGCUCGUAGGCGGCUCAGUAAGUCGGGUGUGAAACCUCCAGGCUCAACCUGGAGACGCCACUCGAUACUGCUGUGGCUAGAGUCCGGUAGGGGAGCAUGGAAUUCCUGGUGUAGCGGUGAAAUGCGCAGAUAUCAGGAGGAACACCGGUGGCGAAGGCGGCGACCUGGUCCGAUACUGACGCUGAGGCGCGAAAGCGUGGGGAGCAAACAGG
rnacentral:rRNA from 1 species